AGUGAACGCUGGCGGUAGGCCUAACACAUGCAAGUCGAACGGCAGCACAGUAAGAGCUUGCUCUUACGGGUGGCGAGUGGCGGACGGGUGAGGAAUACAUCGGAAUCUACUUUUUCGUGGGGGAUAACGUAGGGAAACUUACGCUAAUACCGCAUACGACCUACGGGUGAAAGCAGGGGAUCUUCGGACCUUGCGCGAUUGAAUGAGCCGAUGUCGGAUUAGCUAGUUGGCGGGGUAAAGGCCCACCAAGGCGACGAUCCGUAGCUGGUCUGAGAGGAUGAUCAGCCACACUGGAACUGAGAAAGGGUCCAGACUCCUAGGGGAGGCAGAAGGGGGAAUAUUGGACAAUGGGCGCAAGCCUGAUCCAGCCAUACCGCGUGGGUGAAGAAGGCCUUCGGGUUGUAAAGCCCUUUUGUUGGGAAAGAAAAGCAGCAGGUUAAUACCCCGCUGUUCUGACGGUACCCAAAGAAUAAGCACCGGCUAACUUCGUG
rnacentral:rRNA from 1 species